GAGACCCGUACCCACAGUUGCCAGCGGCUGCUCCGGCAGGCUGGGUACACUAUGGGGACCGCCUCUGCUAAAGAGGAGGAAGGAGCGGGCGACGGUAGGUCAGUAUGCCCCGAAUUCUCCGGGCUACACGCGGGCUACAAUGGAUGGGACAAUGGGCUCCGACACCGAAAGGUGAAGGCAAUCUCUUAAACCCAUUCUUAGUUCGGAUUGAGGGCUGAAACUCGCCCUCAUGAAGCUGGAAUCCGUAGUAGUCGCGUUUCAACAUAGCGCGGUGAAUAC
rnacentral:rRNA from 1 species